CAACCUGGACUUCCAUACCAUAUCAUGCCGUAACAUCAUCAUACCAUAUGAGGACUAAAGGAUCAUCCAAUAACCAAUCCACAUUAACAUCAUAAAUGCAAUGCAACAUAUUCGUGACUUCUAAUGCAAACAACAUAAUUCAUCACAUGGCAUUCAUGAUGCAUGAACAUGCUAAAAACUUUGUAAUUUAUUUGCUUUAAAUCAUAAAGGUUUAUUCUACUCA
rnacentral:lncRNA from 1 species